GUACCCGGAAGCGGCUCGGGCGGGCGCAGGGUAGGGGGUGUAGGGUGGCGGCGCUCCGCCUUUCACCGACGCAGCUGGGAGAAACAGACCGGAGGACGCGGGUGGCGCGGAGCACGAGAAACAACGAGUUUCUGUCUAGAUCGUGGGAGACCCAAGCCCGGGGUUCCGUCCAAGGUCGGGGAUGGAGAGGACGCGACCCCCGCGGCAGUCGAGAUGGCCUUUUUAAAAUUCUAUAUUUGAGAAGGAGUCUCGCGCUGUCGCCCAGGCUGGAGCGCAAUGGCGCGAAAUCGGCUCAUUGCAGCCUCGACGUCCGGGACUCGAGCGAUCCUCCCGCCUCAGCCUCUCGAGAAGGUGGGACCACCGGUGGGCACCGCCACGCCCGGCUAAUUUUUAUUAAUGUUUUGCUACAGCCGGGAUCUUGCUGUGUUGUCUGGCUGGUCUUAAACUCCUGGGCUCCAGCGAUCCUCCCUCCUCGGCCUCCCAAAGCGCUGGGGUUACAGGCAUGAGCCACACUGCGCCUGGCCAAGCUAGUGCAUUUUAAUUGACUUUCACUUCAUGUCAAUUUAUUUUUUACACUAUUCCAUUUAGUCCUCAGAACAGUUCCUUAGAAUUGGGUAUUGCUCCGUUUACGUGGGAAACAUAGCAGCGAGGUAACGGGCUGGGUCCCGUGCUGGGAACGGGAGCCCUGCUCAUCUGACUGCUUGCACCCUGUGCUGUCUAUGCUGGGCGUACUGGGGUGCGUUAGGGAAGAGACCACAGGUACGAUGCAAUGCCUGUCCUCAAGGAGCCCAUUGUUCUCAUGGGAACACAAAGCUGACACAUCGAGAACAAACUAUGGAACAGGCUGUGGCUGGGGGCCAUGAAGGAAGGCUGCCAAGUCGGGGCCCAGCCAGGUAGCAGCCACACCUCUAUCUACCCUGUUCCCCAACACUGGGCACCAGCACUCGCCUGCCCAGGACCCGCAGUGAAAACCCAGCCACAAAAAAAUGCACUUUGGAGAAGAGUAGCAGGUCCCAGGCAGAGCCAGGGCCACCUCUCAGAAAGGACAUCAAGUUUCUUGCCCAGCUGAGAGAUGGACAGAUGACCGCACAAGCCACUCACAGCCCAAGGUGAUAGACUCUAGGAUAUAUUCAAGGCUGAGCAACUGGCUUCAAGUCGUGUCUACUUACAUAUUCAAAGACCUAUUGAGCAUUCACAAGUCAUUCUUUUUACCCUCCAACUAGCCGUGUUCUCAACCAGUCUACCUAGGAAUGCUGUUGGCUGUGAAAACUCCAGAGAUGAAAACUCCAGAGGCUGGUAUCUUUAGAGUUCCUUCAGGGUGCGUUCAGCAUCUGAGCCUAGCGACUCUUGAGGUGAAAGUGCUGAUCUUUUUUUUUUGGUGAGACAGUCUCACUCUGUCACCCAGGCUGGAGUGCAGUGGCGCAAUCUCAAAGUGCUCAUCUUUAUGUACUUUGGAUGCCGGUGAAUGCCUGUUGUUUCAGCCAGCUGGAUCACUUUACCUGUUAACCAUUCCAACGACCCUCCUAAGGAAGCAAAGACCCAAAGAAGUGACGAAACCUAUGUGCUUUUGCAGGAGGCUGAACAAAGAGGCAGUUGUGGAAAAGUAAACCGUGUGGGGAGGCUUAAGAACGACAGGAAUUACUUUAAUUACUUUAAUGUCUGUACAGAAUUCUGUCGGCUAUGGACGUGCUUCCCUGUAGAGGAAUCUUUCUUUGCCCGGUACAGGGAAGGCAUCUUUCACCUGAGCGUUUUUAUCUCCUGUCUUCAGGAAGAAAAGGAGAGAUCCGAUGAUGCUCUUGCCUGUGCCAUUUUUCAAGUGCCUUAGGUAGAAGUGAUUCUUAUGUCAAAGUGGCAGAGUGAGCCACCCUUCGAUCCCAAUGGAAACGUCCUAAAAGGUGUUGACAGUGAACAGUUCCCCUUCCCCCCCGAUGCCAGAGCCUAGUUCUCUGCCCACUUGAAACCAUGAUUAUGGGUUUCCUAUCACAAUUCUGUAGACUUUUAUACAAAAAGAGUUUUAUCUAUGAGAAAAUAUUUUUCAGUGAUCCUGUUCUUCACACCAAUUAAACCUGACUGUUCCC